rnacentral:rRNA from 1 species
UACACUCCUGCGGGAGGCAGCAGUGAGGAAUAUUGGACAAUGGGUGGAAGCCUGAUCCAGCCAUCCCGCGUGCAGGAAGACGGCCCUAUGGGUUGUAAACUGCUUUUAUCUGGGGAUAAACCUACUUACGUGUAAGUAGCUGAAGGUACCAGAAGAAUAAGCACCGGCUAACUCCGUGCCAGCAGCCGCGGUAAUACGGAGGGUGCAAGCGUUAUCCGGAUUUAUUGGGUUUAAAGGGUCCGUAGGCGGACUGAUAAGUCAGUGGUGAAAUCCGACAGCUUAACUGUCGAACUGCCAUUGAUACUGUUAGUCUUGAGUAAGGUUGAAGUGGCUGGAAUAAGUAGUGUAGCGGUGAAAUGCAUAGAUAUUACUUAGAACACCAAUUGCGAAGGCAGGUCACUAAGUCUUAACUGACGCUGAUGGACGAAAGCGUGGGGAGCGAACAGGAUUAGAAACCCCAGUAGUCCCAUGA